rnacentral:lncRNA from 1 species
GAGUAAAGCAGCUCAGAAAAAGAUCAUUUUCUGUAUGCUCAGAUAUUGCUUGCCAUAGAAUAAUUUAAUCUUGAAAACAACAUACUUCAGUAAUAUUUCAGUAUUAUCAUAGGUAAGGUUCACUUCCUAAUCUACAUCAGUUACUCUUUGUACAGAUUGAAGAAAGUUACAAAUAUGUGUCUGCCUACAUAAAAGAUUCAGUGAGAGUCACUGGUUUCAGGUAAGGUCUACAAACCAAAGGUCCGUUUUGGUUUAACUUGUGUUAAAAAAGCGUUGUAUCAUUGUUGUGGUUUGUGUGUUGCUCCGUAGGCCUGGUAGCAUUAUAGCAGACUAUCAGAUUGAAUCAACAGCCAGCAGUCCCAACAGCCCUGGAUUUGCAGAAGCAAACACACAGGUCAUCAGCGCUCUCAGAGAUCAAGGAAUCACUGUAGCUCAGAAUGCUUUUGCUCAAAGUGAACCAAAGACCUUGUCCACUGCAAAAAAUUGGUAUCCAGAGCAAAAUAUGGUGCUGAAAUGCAUACGCCCAGAGUCUGUUGUGGGUACAAUGAGAUGGACAGUGAACGACCAAGAUCCUACACUAAACAAAGUUAAAUACGUCAUUUCAGAUGAACAAACACACAGGUCAUCAGCGCUCUCAGAGAUCAAGGAAUCACUGUAGCUCAGAAUGCUUUUGCUCAAAGUGGUAAGGGUAGUCAGUAUCUAAUCUUAAAAACAAAUUUUCUUAAUUUUAGCCUUUUUAUUCUUGAUUACAAUCAGUUGCUUACAAAAUGCUGGUUUGUUAUAAGCAUGAAUAUUGCUUGUAAAAAUUUUGAAGGGUAAAAUAAGGUUUGUGGACUUUACUUUCAGAACCAAAGACCUUGUCCACUGCAAAAAAUUGGUAUCCAGAGCAAAAUAUGGUGCUGAAAUGCAUACGCCCAGAGUCUGUUGUGGGUACAAUGAGAUGGACAGUGAACGACCAAGAUCCUACACUAAACAAAGUUAAAUACGUCAUUUCAGAUGACAAUAGCACUCUCACUGUAAACAACAUCAACGAGCGUGACAACGGUGAGCCAAAAAUAUCUUUGUCCUAUCAACGAUAUCUUACAUAUUGACUGUCCAUGUAAGGUCAAGAUUAAAGCUGUUUGGUAAAGCUAUGGGACUAAGUGUAUCCAGCUGGCUGCAAUUUAAUAUUAAUGGGAUGCUCAUUGUCUAGAAUUAACAUUACUUCAUCUUUUUUUGAUAAAAAGCAGUUACCAGUGUGCACAGAUGUAUUGGGAUUAUAAGAAAUAUAAGUUUUGAGAUCAAGUGACCCACCGAUAGCAAUGGCGGUGUAGUUCGAUUCCUGACUCGGUAUCCUUAAUCUGUUUUUCUCAGUAAAACUAUCAACAUUUGGUUAGUUUUUGACAGUUUUUCUAACGGAGCUAUGAAUGAAGAUGGCAAACGUCAAUUGAAAAUGGCUUCGCCAGAGAAAAUGCAAGUUAAAGACCCUAAUUAUAUUCCUAAGGGGGAACUUCAUGCUGACAGUUUGAAAGGGUGAUCUCUUCGUGCCACGGCGGUAAAGUUUGUUUGAAGUUUGAUAUUCAUUAGACAUUCUUUUUUUUUUUGCCAAUUAAAUUCUUUGUGGCUGUUAUGUUUUGAGCCCAAAGUAACUCAGACAUAAAUAUAUGCCCUUAACGUUGGACAAGGCUUAAUUUCUAGGAUCUCUUCGUGCCACGGCGGUAAGUUUGUUUGUAAGUUUGUAUAUUCAUUAGACAUUCUUUUUUUUUUUUGUCCUAAUUAAAUUCUUUGUUGGCUGUUAUGUUUUGAGCCCAAAGUAACUCAGACAUAAAUAUAUGCCCUUAACGUUGGACAAGGCUUAAUUUCUAGGAAAAAUAGUAAAAAAAAAAUAAUAAUUGACCAUUUAAAUUAAUUAAACAAUUUAACUAUGUGACAUUAUAAUAUAAAAACAAUACAAAAAUGUUCGGAAAAACAUCCCUGUUAUUGCACAAAGCUCCUUUUUUAGAAUUACCAUUUUAUGUGUUUUAUAAUAAUUUUACAACUUACAACUUUACAACAAAAAAUAAAUGCAUUAAACGACAACACCAUUUGAUCUAAAGGUAUCAAACCAACUGUAAAAUAUUUAUAAUAUUAUUUCCUAUAAUGCACAAGGCUUGGUUUUAAUAUUAUGCCGUUAUUGUUUUUAUAUACAGUACUGAAUCCAUAUUUUUCAUGUUUUAUAUACUUUACCCACCUAAAUUAAUUAAACUCUGACCCCGUUUGAGAUAAAGGUAUCAAACCAACUGUAAAAUAUUUAGAAUAUUAUUCCCUAUAAUGCACAAGGCUUGGUUUUUUAUAUUAUGCCUUUAUUGUUUUUAUAUACAGUACUGAAAACUAUAUUUUACAUUUGUUUAAUAUACUGUAUCCACUUAAUUCAACUCUGACACCGUUUGAUAUAAAGGUAUCAAACCAACUGUAAAAUAUUUAGAAUAUUAUUCCAUAUAAUACACAAGUAUAAUGGUUUUUUCAUGUUAUGCCUUUAUUGUUUUUAUAUACAGUACUGUAUUUAUUCAAAAUAUAAAUAUUUUCUAACAAUAUAAAUCUUUGCUGUCACUUCUUAACAACUGAACACAUCCUUGCUGAAUAAAAGUUUUAAUUUCUUUCAAAAAAAGAAAGAAUAAAAAUGUACUGACCCCCAAAUUUUGAACUAUAGUGUAUAUUGUUAAAAAAGAUUUUAAAUAAAUGCUCUUCUUUUAAACUUUUUAUUUAUCAAAGAAUCCUGAAAUAAAGUAUCACAGGUUCCAAAAAAAUAUUAAGCAGCACAACAGUUUCCAGCACUGAUAAUAAAUCAACAUAAUAGAAUGAUUUCUGAAGGAUCGUGUGACACUGAAGACUGGAGUAAUGAUGCUGAGAAUUUAGCUGCGCAUCACAGGAAUAUGUAUAUAUGUAUAUGUGUGUGUGUGUGUGUGUGUGUGUGUGUGUGUAUUGUUAGGUACCAAACAGGAAAUAACUGUAUAAAAAUCUGAAUAUGUAGAUGUAAAUCUGAAUAUAUAAUUG